UGUUGGGAUUAAAAAAAAAAUAUGUUCAACCUGUGAGACUUUGACAGCAAAAGCAAAGCGCUAAUGGCAAUUGUGCAAGAGUCACUAAUUCCAGACAUGUCAAUAAUUCUGACAUGUCAAUGAUUUCCAAUUUGUGGCUUCAGAUCAAAAUGUCGUGCAAUAGAAUUAUAUUAAUUUUUUAUUAUAUUUUUUCACUUGAGUACAGAAUAAGAAAACAUAUUUUACACCAUACUCACGUAUAUAACUGAAACAAAAGCCUGUCAAAGCAUUAGUUACCUUUUCUAUGUACAUUGCAUUCUUAUUUAAUAUUCACUUGUAUUUCAUUAAAACUUUGGUUUCACGAUUCGCUAAUGGGUGAUGUAACAGUCUGAAGAAACAUUAUAAAAAUCACAAUUUUAGUCAUGUGGCUCACCAAAAGCAAAUAAAAAAUAACUGAUUGUUUUGCAGUGUAAUUCCCUACUUUUUUGAGUUCAAAAGCAGUUUAGUCCCCCAUCUGAAGUAUGCCAAUCAGUCUGUAGUUACAGAUGCUGACUGUCUGUGAGGGUGGGGAAUUCCACUAUGGUUACCCUGUCAACCGUCUCAGUUUCACAAACAACAGGCCUGGGUCAUUCUGUUAGGCAUGUAUGUCUUUUAUUCAUGUUUUCUUUUUUUGGCUGAUAAUGAUGGCUUGUCUUUCUUAAUUUAUUUUUUUAAAUAUUAUUACUGAAAUCUAAUAUAUACAGAAUAAAGUACAAAAAGUGUACAAUUUGAUGAAUUUUUAUUAUGUGUCUCACAUGGAAUCACCACUCAAAAGGCUCCCUCAGGCCACCUUCCCAGUCAGCCGCCACUCCCACCUUUACAUUGGAACCAGUAUUUUGACUUAUAACAACAUAGAUUAUUUUUGCCCCUUAUUGAAUUUCAUAAUAAAUAGAAUUAUAGAAUAUGUACUCUUUUGUAACUUGCUGCUUUUCCUCAUUAUUUUGUCUGACUCAUAAGAUCUCUUGAGAUGCUAUCUUUUAAGUAGGAAUUGCUGAGUCAGUAUAAAGUCAGUCCUACUUUUGUUUGUUUGACAACUUUUGGGUUUGGAAGAAUAUGACAUUUAGAACCAAAAAUAUAAUUAUCUUACUGUGAGUCUAAUCAUCAUUGCUACAUUAGAAAAUUCACACAGUGCUACACCUGCUGCUGGCACAAGGUUAUAUGCAGAAAGGGCAAGGCUGGAGCCCACAUUUAGCACUACUCUAAACCUAGCAAUAGCAGAAUAUAGUCCAUCAUAGUAUGAUUUUACCAGACUAAUCAAGUACUGUAUCAUUAAUGGAUUAUCUUAAAAUUAUAGAGAGAACACUAAAUUCCCUAAAAUAGAUUUUUCACAGUUUGGGCUCUUGUUAAGUCAAUUUAGUGGGCUGCGACUACCAUUUUAAACAAGUGAAAUAGAACAAAAUGGAAAAUACCAAAGGGAACUGUAUAUGAUAAAACUGAGUAAUGUUUCACUUAUACAGGAUCAUAGUAUGUAUCAUAUUUCUCACCACGUAUAGCAGUAAAUACUUUAUAGCCACUUCCCUAACGAAAACACGAAAUAUAUAUUGAACAACUGCAGUGUGCAUGUUUUGUUAUGUGCACAUGUUAUUAAGAUAGGUAAAACUUGGCCUACAUAUUUUAAGGAAAAGUCAUGUGCCCAAAUAAUUAUAGUAAGAAAAGCUACAUAGUGUGGCAAGGCCAUAAGAGUAAUAAAGCUUAGAACAUUCAGAAAAGAUUCAUAACAGUUGGCAUUUGAGUAAAUUUUGAGGGAUAAAUAGGAUUUUAUGUGCUCAAGAGGUGAGUAGGGAGUGAUAAAAGUAUUAGCAUAAACAAAAAAAUUAGAACGUAAUGCACACAGAGAGUAGUCUACUUAAAAAAAAAAAGAUAAUUGGGUUCAUUCAGAUGACAGAGUUAUGCCUCAAAGGGUAAAUGUUAAGUUUAGAAGUCUGUACUUUACUCAGUAGUCAGUGAGGAGCCAUUAAGGAAAACAGUUAAAUGACAAAAGUGAUAUUUUAGAAAGAGGAAUCAUAUGUGUUGGUUAUCUAGGAAGGGAGUGAAAGUGGUGGUAGGUAGUCUAGAUAGAGGACUAUAGAAAUAAUCCAGAUAAAGAUAGUAAAGAACUAAAGUAUAGUGAAGGUGGGGAAAAUAGAAAGGAAAGAAGUUAUAGAUCUAGAUUACUUACCAAAAA
rnacentral:lncRNA from 1 species